CCUCUGAUACCACUUCUGUCACACCCGUAUUUAAGGGAUAAAGCCGGGUGCGUCUCAUAUGUGCGCCAAGGAAGAACAACACAUAUAAUAACAAAGUGCAUAAAGAUAAAUGCCAUAAAUGUACUUAUUACAUAGCGGAAGUCUUACAAAAUAAAUGAUAAAAUAAAGCGAACUAUAUAUUAUUUCCCUGGCGCCACAAAGCUUAUUGGGAGACGCCACCUAGAUUAAGUCGAACUCCUCGUUGGGCGGCUCCUCUUGAACCACUUGUUCUUCUCCUGUGGGGGGUUGUGAGACAGCAAGGGUGAGCUCACACAUGUUCAUCGCUCAACAAGUUGUGGGGAAUAAUGUGCAUGAACUCACCAAAGGUAGGAGUUCAUGUGAAGUGUAAGGCUGAUCAAUAAAAUAAAGGUAGAAGCUGAGCAUUGCUUUUAUAAGUUGGUCAAAAUUUUAUUAGCAGUUACUAAGUGUAAGUAAAUACCAAACCAUAUUAAAUAAAAGUAAUAAUAAUAAAAUAAUCCCAAUGCGAUGCAAAUGACAGAUUGAAUUUAAUUCCAUAAAUUAAUCAUGUGAGUGUCUGAGCUGCUCAUGACCGUGAGCACGACUAGUAUACCAGUUUUACACUCUACAGAGGUUGCGCAUCUUUACCCACAAGUCGUGUUACCCAUUUGCCACGGGGUUGAUCGGACCCCAUACACCUCUACCAAGGAAGCGAGGCAGGGUACCACUACGAGGCCUUUACAAAGUUCCACUAGCUUCAGAAAAAACCCGCUACAGUUAAUAGGAAGCUCCAGUGCAGGGAUCCCUCGCCUGACCGCCAUCCCAGCAAAAUCAACCCAAGGACCUCCCUACACUGACUACUCCCCUACUGCCCUUGCCCCUAUCGGGUAAGGUAGUCAUCCACUAGCUUUCCUAGUUAAUCAGCCAAGGGCUACCCAUACCACCCUUGUGGUAGCACUGUUUUCCCGGGUGGUUCUCCAUGUUCUCAUUAACAUAAUGAUCUUAUCAUGAAUAGUAAAUAAUAAAAUGAUAAUAAAAAGUGUAAUCAUGAGUGAUGUAUAUCUCUAUACCCAAAACCACAUAAAGCAAUAGCAUAUACUACCCAAAAAUAUUCAGUGGAAAAACAAGGUAUAAAGAUAGCCAAAACUAGGGUAACCUAUUGGAUCCCAUCAAAAUUAACCUAUGCAGAUCAUUAUGAUUAAUAAGAACAUGACUGGGUAAAAAAAGUGAUCAAGGGCACAACUUGCCUUCAACGAGCUCCUGCUCAGCAGUCUGCACCUGUUGAACCCCUGGGUCCUCUGUGGCUUGCUCAUCUACUCGCAUCAAUACAAACAUACAUAGUAUAAAGGAGAAAUUAACAUCACACCAAACAUGUAAGCAAAAUACACAUUAAUAAUCUACAUAUUAAAAUAAGAUCAUAGAAAUAGGAAUCAUUAUUUUGGAGUUAUGGAUAUCAAGUUAUGAAUUUCCAAAGGUUUCAUGUGCUUGAUACAAGAUUAAUUAAGGGAUAAAUUUUUAAUAUGAUUUUCAUGUCAAAAUAGUGGCACUUUUUGAUAAACAAUAAUAUUACAAAAUUUAAGAAACUGGAAUGGAUCAAUUUGGUGUUCAUAUGAAUUUUCUAUGAAUUAAACAAUUUCUAGCAUUUAUUUUUACACUAAAAUUCCAUUUCUAAUUCAAUUUCCCUGUUAUAAUAACUCUCUGGACUGCGCACCAUUUUCUGGAAUGUGUAGGGGCUACGACACAAUUAAACCCUAGACUCAGAGAUGCACUGGACGACGGGUUCUUUUCUUAAAACGUCGGGGUCUCUUAUGCAAAACGAGCCACACGAAGGGGUACGGUGCAUUAUGGGCCGUUGGAUCAGUGAUAAGCGCCCUAGAUUAGAUCCAUCCUCCAAUCUGAACGGCAUACACCAUACACCGUUGAUUCCAGGAUCUGUGGUCACGAUUUUCAAUACUCCGAUCUACUCUUGUGCGUACGAUUUAGAUCCGAUGGUCUACCUCCAACACUCGAAUCGGUAUUCUAGGUUUAGAUCUAGGCUGCCCAUUCCCAGAUCAAUGGCCCGCACCUAUCUUCUUCUCCCUGCCUAGAGCAUGGCAGCGGCGCCACCGGCCACGACGGCAGCCCCACCUGUGUUUGGCUAUUCAACGUUCUGGCGAGAAAUUCUAAAAUUAAACGGCGCACAAUGUAGCGGAGAGGGUGGCGAGCAAUAAAAGAGGGGUCACGCAAUGAAUUGUCUCUCUGUUACCCCGAGCCACGGUGAGGCGCAUAACCACGGCGGCGAGCCUUGGCGAGAAAUUGCCGAUGCUCCAAUGACCGACUUUAACCCAAACCCGGUAUACAUGCUGUUGCAGAUGAGAUGAGCACAGGAUGGAACCCUUACCGGCGCUAGAGGCAACAGACGUGCCCAGCCACGGUGUGGGGGAGGUUUCCUGUGUCCGCCCUACUCCAGCGAGCGGCGCACCGUUUUGCGGUACGCCGAGACGAUGCCGAAGGCCACGAUUGAUUCACAGCAGACCGAAGAUCCCCAAAGCCACGCUCCAGGACCAAACAAUCACCGAGCCGAUGUACGCUCCGCGACGGUGCCCGCAUUCUUCCCCGCGGAAAUUGGGUACGACGAUUCCGUGAUUCCGAGCUAAUCCUAGGUGCGGUUCAAGCGGAGGGUUCUGCGACUAUGGUAUUUGUAGCCCGUGACACGAUCACCGCCAAAAUCGUGCCGACGGGUGCGACCGAAUCAGCCCAGGAGAUGUGCUCAGUAUCUCAAUGGAUUUCGUUGGAGACGAACCCCACAGGAAGGGCCCACCAGUCGGUGAGACACCAGGGCACCCGUAGCUGACUGAGGUCUUAGUAGUGUGCCCCGCAAACUAGUGAAUAGAGUGAGAAGCGAGCGCCAGAGGUGGCUAUCCGGUGGGACCCGGCCGUCAGUGCGCGAUGGAAGAAGAAAAUUUGGGCCACUCGGAGUAAACGGGCCGAGGCUGAUAGAUUAGGCCCAAGCGCAUGUAGGUUUGUC
rnacentral:lncRNA from 1 species